rnacentral:rRNA from 1 species
GGCUCAGAUUGAACGCUGGCGGCAUGCCUUACACAUGCAAGUCGAACGGCGAGCACGGGGCAACCUGGUGGCGAGUGGCGAACGGGUGAGUAAUGCAUCGGAACGUGCCAUUGAGUGGGGGAUAACGUAGCGAAAGUUGCGCUAAUACCGCAUAUUCUGUGAGCAGGAAAGCAGGGGACCGCAAGGCCUUGCGCUCUUUGAGCGGCCGAUGUCAGAUUAGCUAGUUGGUGAGGUAACGGCUUACCAAGGCGACGAUCUGUAGCGGGUCUGAGAGGAUGAUCCGCCACACUGGAACUGAGACACGGUCCAGACUCCUACGGGAGGCAGCAGUGGGGAAUUUUGGACAAUGGGCGCAAGCCUGAUCCAGCCAUGCCGCGUGAGUGAAGAAGGCUUCGGGUUGUAAAGCUCUUUCGGCCGGGAAGAAAUCGCAUGGGUUAAUACCCUGUGUGGAUGACGGUACCGGAAUAAGAAGCACCGGCUAACUACGUG